rnacentral:rRNA from 1 species
AAUUUUGGACAAUGGGGGAAACCCUGAUCCAGCAAUGCCGCGUGCAGGAUGAAGGCCUUCGGGUUNUAAACUGCUUUUGUACGGAANGAAAAGUCUUGGGCUAAUACCCUGGGAUCCUGACGGUACCGUAAGAAUAAGCACCGGCUAACUACGUACCAGCAGCCGCGGUAAUACGUAGGGUGCAAGCGUUAAUCGGAAUUACAGGGCGUAAGGCGUGCGCAGUCGGUUUUGUAAGACAGUGGUGAAAUCCGUGGGCUCAACCUGGGCCCUGCCAUUGUGACUGCAAGGCUGGAGUGCGGCAGAGGGGCAUGGAAUUCCGCGUGUAGCAGUGAAAUGCGUAGAUAUGCGGAGGAACACCGGUGGCGAAGGCAAUCCCCUGGGCCUGCACUGUCGCUCAUGCACGAAAGCGUGGGGAGCAAACAGG